ACGCUCUGACUUUGCUAAAAUCAACAAAUUGCACUGUCUGCAGCCGACCCCGGAGGCUCGACACCCGCCGCGGACCCCGCUGCGCCCCAAAAGGCGGCCCAGGAGCCCGAGGGCUCUACCCCGCAUGGAGAGGACCAGAGCCCACUGAAAUCCCUGGUAAGCAGAGGUCUCACGCUCGCGGGACAUGGCCUAGAAGGAGCAGAAAAAAGGCUGGAUAAGGGACGUCAAUUCAGGAAAAAUCUUUAUGACCGUGGAGCCGAAUUUGGACGAAAUCUGAAAAAGCUUGUUCCACAAUUCAAUUAGAUGGAGUCUGAGACGCCGAAGAGGAGGGGUCCCAGGACUCCAGGCCUCAGCUGCGCCGCAGCCCCCGGUGAUUAAACUAAAGCAUC
rnacentral:lncRNA from 1 species